rnacentral:tRNA from 1 species
GGAGUGAUUAGCGUAACGCGCAAAGCCUCGGCUUGCUAAGCCGAAGGUCCCGGGUUCGAUUCCCGUUGGGUCCC